UACGUAGGGGGCUAGCGUUGUCCGGAAUCAUUGGGCGUAAAGCGCGUGUAGGCGGCCCGGUAAGUCCGCUGUGAAAGUCGGGGGCUCAACCCUCGGAUGCCGGUGGAUACUGUCGGGCUAGAGUGCGGAAGAGGCGAGUGGAAUUCCUGGUGUAGCGGUGAAAUGCGCAGAUAUCAGGAGGAACACCAAUUGCGAAGGCAGCUCGCUGGGACGUGACUGACGCUGAGACGCGAAAGCGUGGGAGCAAACAGG
rnacentral:rRNA from 1 species